rnacentral:lncRNA from 1 species
ACACUAUGAAUUAUUAUGAUUAUUUUCCUGAAACGAGCCAGACAGAUAUAUCCUCAAUCACAAAUAACUUCAGUGUCUGCCUAAUCUUACACAGGAAAUGAUCAAGUGUUGGAGAGUAAACACUUCUGGAUAGGGAUUUGCAGCAGCCAGCACCUUGGAAGGACUGAACAGAAUUGCAUUGGCUGAAAUGUAUACAUUUUGUUGCAAUAAAAAACCAAAACCAAAAACCAGAGUAUACAGCAGAUGCACUGAAUUGGCUCCCUGAUAGAUGUCAAAGCGUAGCUGUGGUGACAGAGAAGUCAGCAACUGGAGCGACUCCAAUUGGCUUUCCAAGGAUUCUUACUGAAAGAUUACUUAACAUUUUUAUUGAUAAUACAGACAGUGAUACUCAGGUAAAUCUUGCUAUUUAACAAACAGAUGACCAUAUUAAAGGAUGGCAUUAUUUUUCUCUUAUAGAUCGAUCUGAUGUGCUUUGCAGUCAAAGUAAUUUAAUUGUAGUUAAGUAUAAUGUAACACAUCUGGAAAAAAAUUAUUAUGGAUUAUAUGCUCAUGUAAAAUCUGCCUUAGAAAGCAGUAAUCACAGGAGAAAUGUAGAAAAAACUGUCUGAACAGGUGACCUUGGUGAAACAGUACAGCAAAAAGGGAUUAAUGUGACCUCUCAGAGGUCUGUAAAGGGGAACACAAAGUAGAAAGUGGGAUGCUGUCUUACCUCGGCACAUCUACUAUCAUAGUGUUGAUUUGCUUCCCAAUGUGUAUAGCUGUUUAUGAAGAUUACUUUAACAUUAUGCACAUAACUUUCUCUUAAAGUUAAUGGGAGGGUUCAGUAAUUCAAGGCCUUUUAGCACACAAAAGCUCUGACAUGGAAUAGACCUUGAGACUAGAAGCCUGGAUCAGCACAAACAACACGGAAUAAAUAUAAAGCAUACAACUUAGCAGUUCUUUUGAAGUACAGCAGCAAAAUGUGCUCAUCGAAAAGGUAUUUAUUCAAGUAUACAAAACACUGACUCACUCCGGAGAACAAAAAUGUAGCCUUGGGAGGGGAUAAAGUGACUUCAGUUGUGCAAGGAAGCUUUUAACUGGUAACACCUGAGUGUUGUUUGGUAACACAUGAAUAGCAGAAGUGCUGGCUGGGUAUUGGGAGUGGUCUCUGCGGCCAGCCAGAUGUGCCUUGCAAUAUAAAAAGGGUCUGUUAAGUCAGGGAAUGCCUAGCUGAAUAAAAAAUGGAACAUCCUUAGAUCUUAAGAUUAUAAUUAAGCUAAAACAUACUCAAUUUCAUAGCAUCAUAGAAUGGUUU